rnacentral:rRNA from 1 species
GUGUCAGCCGCCGCGGUAAUACGGAGGGUGCUAGCGUUGUUCGGAAUUACUGGGCGUAAAGGGCGCGUAGGCGGCCGUUUGCGUCGGAUGUGAAAGCCCGGGGCUCAACCUCGGAACGGCAUUCGAUACGGGACGGCUGGAGACCGGGAGAGGAGAGUGGAAUAGCCAGUGUAGAGGUGAAAUUCGUAGAUAUUGGCUGGAACACCGGUGGCGAAAGCGGCUCUCUGGCCCGGUUCUGACGCUGAGGCGCGAAAGCGUGGGGAGCAAACAGGAUUAGAUACCCUGGUAGUCCACGCCCUAAACGAUGUGUGCUGGGCGUCGGGGGGCUUGCCCCUCGGUGCCGGAGCUAACGCGGUAAGCACACCGCCUGGGGAGUACGGCCGCAAGGUUAAA